rnacentral:rRNA from 1 species
UGGCUCAGAGUGAACGCUGGCGGCAGGCCUAACACAUGCAAGUCGAACGGCAGCACAGGGGGAGCUUGCUCCCUGGGUGGCGAGUGGCGGACGGGUGAGGAAUGCGUCGGAAUCUGCCUUUUCGUGGGGGAUAACGUAGGGAAACUUACGCUAAUACCGCAUGCGACCCUGCACCGGGAGGUGCUGGGUGAAAGCGGGGGACCUUCGGGCCUCGCGCGGAAAGAUGAGCCGACGCCGGAUUAGCUAGUUGGCGGGGUAACGGCCCACCAAGGCGACGAUCCGUAGCUGGUCUGAGAGGAUGAUCAGCCACACUGGAACUGAGACACGGUCCAGACUCCUACGGGAGGCAGCAGUGGGGAAUAUUGGACAAUGGGCGCAAGCCUGAUCCAGCCAUGCCGCGUGAGUGAAGAAGGCCUUCGGGUUGUAAAGCUCUUUUGUUGGGAAAGAAAAGCUUUCGGUUAAUAACCGGGAGUUCUGACGGUACCCAAAGAAUAAGCACCGGCUAACUUCGUGCCAGCCGCCGCGGUAAUAC